UACGUAGGGUGCAAGCGUUGUCCGGAAUUAUUGGGCGUAAAGAGCUCGUAGGCGGUUUGUCGCGUCUGCCGUGAAAGUCCGGGGCUCAACUCCGGAUCUGCGGUGGGUACGGGCAGACUAGAGUGAUGUAGGGGAGACUGGAAUUCCUGGUGUAGCGGUGAAAUGCGCAGAUAUCGGGAAGAACACCCGUGGCGAAGGCGGCUCUCUGGGGCGGUACUGGACGCUGAGACGCGAAAGCGUGGGGAGCGAACAGG
rnacentral:rRNA from 1 species